GGAAGUAUGCCUGAAAGUUAAGGAACUCCUUGAUAGGGAGUACUAUAGGUGUUCAAACCACCUUACUUCCC
rnacentral:tRNA from 1 species